AUGACCUUGUGUUUUUCUUCCAUAGUUUUACUCUAUAUGAUUGCUUUUGGCUGCGUUGCUCUGAUCCUGAUUCUGCUGUUCAUCGUCAUAUGUUACGUUUACAAGAAAAAACAUCGGAAGUCAACACCAGCCGCUGCUGGAGAUACGGAGCUCAUAUACACUGAUAUCUCUCCUGAGAAAAAGGAUGAAAAUAAGACAACAGGUAAGAAACUCAAUGAAGCUAAGAGAUCUACUUUAGACUACUUUGUAAAACAACAUAGUCUCAGUCAUUGAAUUAGUCAUGUCACUGCCUAGAUCUCAAGGUCAUUCAGUCACUAUUACUAAUUGGAAACAAAAACCUUCUAGUUAAUUUUACGUUGCAAAUUGUUACGUGUUGUUGCUCUUUCAUGACUAAAAGAAAAGACUAUGUAAAAACUAGAUUUCUGUCUUUUAAAAUCAUUUAGUUUAAAAAGUUUGAAAGCUUUUUUAUAGAUUAAGAUAAUGUUUGAAACACUAAGACAGUAAGUGUCUUGUAAGUGUUCAAAUCUUUUUUGUCUCUUUUGCAGUUUAUUCUUUUGCCCUGAAUCCGUCGGUCAGUUUGUUACUGUGUUUUUCCCCUUUUACACAAAUAGAGAACUGACUCAGAGAAACUGUCAUCAUUAAACUCUUUCUGCAGAGUGAUGGAAAGACUUGACUAGUCAAGCUCAACCAUUCAAUGCUAGGGUAAAUCUGCAUCUUAUUACCCAUUCUGACAUAGAGUUUUUGGUUUAUAUUCAUUACAUUAAUUCAAAAGUUUUACUAUUUUGAUUGUGAU
ensembl:lncRNA